ACAAAGAUGUAGAUCAAGGCACAUAAAAUAUUUAAAAAGUUAUAUAUUAUUUGUAACUCAAAUGUUCAUUUCAUAUAUAUUUUCAAACAACUAUUUUAUUUUUUAAAGAAACUAACUUUCGAACGUCGUUAUUUACAACAUAUUAUUAUCUUCUUUGCUUUGAGUUGCCUUUGGUGGUCCUAAAGUUGUAAUUUAAGCUUUUGGUGGUCCUGAAGCUAUAAUAACUGUUUUUUGUGCACUUGAUGCCUUAAUUGUUGACUUUAGAGGUCCUGAAGCCCUUGGUCCUGAAAUUUCAUGAAUUGGUUUUGGUGGUCCUGAAGCUAUAAUAACUGUUUUUUAUCCACUUGAUGCCUUCAUUGUUGACUUCGGAGGUCUUGAAGCCCUUGGUCCUGAAAUUUCAUGAAUUGUUUUUGGUGGUCCUGAAGCUAUAAUAACUGUUUUUGAUCCACUUGAUGCCUUAAUUGUUGACUUCGGAGGUCCUGAAGCC
rnacentral:lncRNA from 1 species